UAGACAUCUAAAUUAGUUAGUAACUGGAUUUUAUUGGGUUGUUGCCCUUGGUGUUAAGAUAUUGUACCGUACAUUUGUUACUGUGAAGAAAGUGUACUGAUGUUUCCAGAAUGUAUUAUGCAAUAAUUUUUGGAUUGUGAAGUAUUCUCGUGGAUUCACAAAGUUUUCUUACCCGGUGUCAUAAAUAUUAUCGGUAUGUUAUUUAUAUUUGGAUCAUUGCUGAAUUUGGUAUUAUUUAGUUUUAUAAGUGUUCUAAGACAUGUUAUUUUGUUUUAGAAAACCGUCUUCCAUCUUUCAUUUCCGUCUAUUGUGAUGUUUGUGUAUUGCUGAGCAUUUCAUGUUAUGCUAUCAAUUCUUCGAAUUACAAUUUCAUUACAAGUUUUCAACAAUUGGUUGUGUUUGGACAAGGA